rnacentral:lncRNA from 12 species
AUGUUGAAGGUGCCUGCGGCAGUAACCAGGAGCCUCAACCGGCCUGACAAAAGAGUGGGGUGCCCUGAAAAGACGAGAGGAACUGGAAACGGGCAGAGGCACGCUCUGCGGGGAAAUCGCAGAAAUAACCUCAGGGAAGAUGCUUGCUGCAAACCAUGGAGGGUAGUAACUAGAUCGGGAGAGACAGAAGCCCAGGGACAAGUCAAGGUUAAAGCGCAAAAGCCACAGCAGCAAGAAAACACGUGCUUGUGCUCGAAUACACGUCAGGUGCGGUGCGCUUUCCGGGGCUCCCGCACGUGCCCCCCGCUGGGCUCCGGUGCAGCGGCGACCCGGCCGCGAGCUGGGGCUCCUUCCCCCGCCCUCCGCUAGGGGCCCGGCGCCCGCGCCGCGGGGAAGGCACAUGACUCAGCAUCCUCCGGCCGCGAGGACCGCGCCGCCCUGAGCCCGAGCUCCCAGACGCGUGGCAGUUGGGGAUGUCGCCCCCAACCCCCAUGUCUCCUUCGACCGAGGACCGUCCCUUGCUUCUUUGACCUGCGGUUCCCUGGCGGUGCUCGCCGCGCCUCUGGGUCGGUGCGGGCCCAGGUUGUCCCCUCGCAGGCUCGCCCCGGCCCGCAGCAGCCCGCACCCCGGGGGCACUGGGGGGCAGCAAGCCCGCUCGCCCCCCGGUCCACGGGAUUGCCCUGCAGCCCUCUGCGGUGCCUUCGGGCCCGCCCCCUUCCCACCUGCCAGGUCUCCGCUUUUUUUUUUUCCCCCCCUAGGCAAGUUGCAGUGAGGCUGAACUUCAGGCCCGGGGGAUGCGGCGGCGGCAGCUCCCCGGAAGCGGCUCUGGGGGAGCGGGCGGGGGUGCCGGCGUCGACCUCGCACCUCGGGGAGAGGGGCGGCAACGCAAACCAAGGAUUUCCGCGCAUACAUAGUCUGCAUCA